rnacentral:tRNA from 2 species
GGUCCAGUAACUCAGAGGUAGAGUAUCUGCCUUUUAAGCAGAGAGUCGGCAGUUCGAGCCUGCCCUGGAUCACCA